ACUGCAGCAUCAUUCAAUACACCCAUGUGACAAACCUGCUUAUGUACCUCCUGAAUCUAAAAUAAAAGUUGAAAUUAUUUUUAAAAGAAGAAUAAAAAUAAUAAAGAGUUCGGAAAUAAACCUGUGCAUUUAUAGUGAAUUGAUCAAUGGACUUUAAUCUUUUACUGGGUAUAUGCAGCAUUAUUCCUCAUACAUUUUACUUAGUAACUUCUAAAUUAAAAUUUGCUUUCAUAUAUGUUGUGCUUACCAGGGAGACACAGCACUAUCCAUAAGAAUCCAAUGUCUGAUUCCCAUUGCAUUCAGAGUUCUCAGUGCCAUCUUCACUGUAAUGUAUAUUCAGAUAUAUUCUGAAUAAAAGGAAGGGGCAUGUUGGCAAGAAGAUUCUGACUGCAUAUCAGGAUUAGACUCAGGCUCUUUGAACUUUUUGUUUCUGUAUCUUUCAAUUGUGUGGCUUUGGGAAAAUUUACUUGAUCUCUGUGCUUGAAUUUUCUCAUCUGAAAAGUGUUAAUAAGAAUACUAAUGAAAUUUCAGAGAUAAUAAACCUAAAAGGCAUUGGAGUAUGUACUUGUUAAAUAUUAGUUGUUGCUGCUAUCUGGAUCUUAAGAUAUGUGAGUCACAAAAGAGUAAGGAGUGUCCACCUGAGAAGGAUGAAGAAGUGGUAACCUCAGGAAUAAGUUGAAUUCAGUUAUGCCAAAUGGGGAAAAUGAAUAUUGAGGAAUAAAUGAGUUAAUUAUCAUAGAAUUGGGGUUUCUGAUAGCACAAUAAAUGAGUGCUGCUUCAAUAAAGAAGUGAGCAAUAAAAGAAAGCAUGAAUCUAAAAUUUUUACAUAACAGGAUGGUUGUGUUGAAAAGACCAGAUAAUUAGAUUGGCCUAUAAUUUAGAUUAUGGACAAAAUUAUGAAGACGGGAAAGUCAGUUAGCUUAUAUGGCCACUAGAAUGAGUUUAGACCUCUCAAGUGUCAAUUAUGUUCAGAUGAAUUGUACCUUCUCUCAAGUGCUACACUCUCUUGGAUGGGAGAUAACUUUGUCCCCUGGUGAAAGCUUGCAUUGGUUGCUCAGGCACUGGGAAGCUGUUUUUGUUUGGAGUGUGCUUAUAUGCGUCCUGUAGGAGGACAGCUGAAAACCUGGUCUCCACCUGCUAAUCUGGUGGGCAGACGCCACAGUGCAGAGAAACCUGGUAUGCAGAAGAUGAAGACAUAGCACAACGUAAGUCAUGUCCUAUAGAUCUAUAUCACCUGUAAGGCAUAAUAUCCCAGCAUGUGCCUCUGAACUCACAUUCUGAAGGUGCAGCAAACAUGGAUGGGAUCUCUAGAGGAGUGGGCACCCGGAAUAUAUGCUUCUUGACCAUGCAGGCAAGAGUGGAAAAUUGUUAGUAUUUAGAUUUAUGUAUAUGGUAAUAUGAUUUAAACAUGUUUUGUUCACAUAUUUCUAUCUAAUGAAGUUAUCUUCCUGUCCUAAUGAGGUGGGUAACAAUGUGUCUCACUGUCACUGUUUUGGAGAUUUUGCUGAACUUGGUGAACUUGCUCUACUCUGGCCUGGACAGAAAAGAAAAGAAAAGCUUACACUUCUUGGUUUCCUUGUUCUGCCUUCCUAUUGUGAUGGGAAAAGACAACAUAGAGUAGAAAUUAACAAAGGAAUCUCUGGAGUGAGGCAUUCUGAAAUUUUACUGAAGCUCUAAAACUUAACAGCUAUGGAAAUGGUAUAUGAUACAUCAGCAAAAUGCCGCUGUGCAGGAACAGCAUCCCUUGAGUGAUUGUGGUCUUCCUUGUAACUUCACUACUUAUUCUACUACUGAACCAAGCAUAAUUAAAGAUGAAAACAAGUGAACAGUAUUAUGAUAAAGGAAAGAGCCGAGGUCAGAAUGAGAAACACAUCCCCACAGGAUUUCUGACCAUCAGUAACAUGAAUUAGCUGGUGUGCACUCUGCUCUGUAACCCUGGAAUCUCCUUUCUACUCGGAGGGAACCAGAUGUACAGCAUGAAGAAGUAUGCCCUUUGGAAAUGUAAAUGAAUACAGUUAAGAGGCUACACCGCCCUUUAAAGGAGUUCUUCUGAUCUCUUAGGAGCUUUACAUUUUGAAGAACAUGGAUGGAUGAGAAACUUGAUGUGGAUUAGAGAAGGACUCCUUCUGUCACCCAGGCUGAGGUGCAAUGGCCUGAUCACAGUUCACUGCAGCCUUGAAUUCUUAGACUCAAGCUACUCAUCCACCUCAGCCUCCCAAGUAGCUGGGACUACAGGCUCACACCACCUCACCUGGGGUCUGGCUCUGUUGCCCGGUCUGGAGUGUGAUGGCAAAAUCAUGGUUCACUGCAACCACUACCUCUCAGGCUCAAGGGGUCCUCCCACCUCAGCCUUCCUAGUAGCUGGGACCACAGGUGUAUGCCACCACACCCAGGAAUGGUGAUGGUAUUCUUUUAUCCACUUUGAGAGAAACUUUGAGAAUGUGAACAGCCACAAAUUUAGAAGUUUCUUUUUUUGCUUUGCUAUAUACAUGGACAAUAAUCCUGUACCUUGCCUGUGAUCUUCCAGAACACAGAUUGGGUUUGUUAUCAGUUAUAUUGAUGGGUUGUCCUCAGAUGGUUGAAGACUGAGGCUGCAGGGAUGAUUGAAAUCUGUAGGCGGAAGAGACAACUGCAAUUCCUGGAGGUGUUAGAACUCUGCAGUGUUUUGGAGGUCUGGUGCUGCCAUUUAUAUUUCUCUUCCCUGGAACUCUUUCUUCAUAACAGAUUUUGAACUAAAAAUAAAGAAAAUCUCCCA
rnacentral:lncRNA from 1 species